rnacentral:tRNA from 1 species
CCUCCUUUAAAGAAAUCGGAAUAAGGCGUGAAAGCGCCCGCACAAUUUGCCUAAUCACCGUAAGAAUAGCCGCGGGUCUGUAGCUCAGUUGGUUAGAGCGCACCCCUGAUAAGGGUGAGGUCGGAAGUUCAACUCUUCCCAGACCCACCACCUUCCCGCCUCAAGGGGCGACAAGGGAACAAGGGGCCACAGCUCAGAUGGGAGAGCACCUGCUUUGCAAGCAGGGGGUCGGCGGUUCGAUCCCGCCUGGCUCCACCAGGCGCUAAACGGCGGUGGCAGAUUGCCACGGGCCGUUUAUCUCCUGGCCCAAGGCGCCACGGGGAUGUUCUUUUUACAAUUUAGGUAA